rnacentral:rRNA from 1 species
GUUUGAUCCUGGCUCAGAUUGAACGCUGGCGGCAGGCCUAACACAUGCAAGUCGAACGGUAACAGGAAGCAGCUUGCUGCUUCGCUGACGAGUGGCGGACGGGUGAGUAAUGUCUGGGAAACUGCCUGAUGGAGGGGGAUAACUACUGGAAACGGUAGCUAAUACCGCAUAACGUCGCAAGACCAAAGAGGGGGACCUUAGGGCCUCUUGCCAUCGGAUGUGCCCAGAUGGGAUUAGCUAGUAGGUGGGGUAACGGCUCACCUAGGCGACGAUCCCUAGCUGGUCUGAGAGGAUGACCAGCCACACUGGAACUGAGACACGGUCCA